AAAAAAAAAAAAGAAGCGAUUCGUUGUCAAAGCGAGAGACAAAGAACAAAGUAGAAGGGAGAACGCUCGAGGCUCUUGAUUAGAAGCGAUCGUUUUCCGGUUUUCCGUUCGCGAGCCACAGCUGCCUGGCUGCCCCUGCCUUUUCCUUCCUGCUCGCUCUUUCGCUUUGCCGUUGACUCAACUCGCGAGAGGGAAAGUAUUUUAUACCACGCUUGGCUUGGCAAGAGAAAGGGGACACGGUUCGCUCCUAAUUUCUGUUUUAACUCGGUGAACCUAUAUAUCGUGGUUGAGAGCAUGUAACUCGACGCCAGUCACAUUAUGUACAUUUAUAUUAGUGUGUGUGUGUGUGUGUAUAUUCGCAUAUACACGAGUAUUCUUAAAGGAUACGUUACAUUCGACGGUAAAACAUGGUGGUCCAGUCCAAUGUAAACCGGCAUUAUUAUCGUUCAUAUCGUCGUCGUACUGUCUUCGAAUAUGAGAUACAACAUUGGGAAAAGGAAAGAGAGGAAAAGAAGGCUCGCGUAGAGCGCGUGCUCGACAGUCAACCUCUGUCUCGUUAGAGACAUCGGAUGAGGAUUUGAAACCGCGAUUACACCAGCUGCACACCGGAACAACAGCACGGUGCACGCGUGCGGAUAUCACGAUUUGACAUCCAUGUCCACGAUGAAGAAGUCACCAAGACGAUAGUUAAAGGCUGUUGUCGUCCAUUCGUUGAAACUGCACGCAAAAAUAGUAAUUAUUUGUCCGUGAACGGGACUGAUUCCAUAGGGAAAUCCGCAUAUUGUUUCCAGGCGGUUGGUGGGUAAACAUGAGGUGCGGGUAUACUUGCGUUAAUUACAAAAGUGAAAGUGUGGGUCAUUCACGAUACACAGCUAACGGUAUUUAUACAUAUGAAAUAAAAAGAAAUCUCGUAGCCUCUUCUUCUU